GAACUUUGCAGAUCAGAAACCUGCCAAAGGCUAAUGGAACACCAACUAAUAGAUAUGUAGGAAAUUUCAUGAUGCUCUGUACUUUGUGCCUCACCAUUCCUGAACCUAAAGGAAGUUUAUCUUUGAUAUAAUCUGUCCAGGUUUGGGUGAUUAUUCUUCAAUGAGAUGGAAAAAAAUUUUUUAGCCUAAGGUGAAGAUUGAGAAGAAUCUUCUGUUUUGAAGAAGAGUGUCCCUGUACAGCUUGGAUUAAAAUAAGGUGCAGCCCCAGCUAGAAGACAAGAAACUAAAAGUAGCAGCUCAGCAUCAUGUUCAUUUUCAGUCUGAGCUUGCUGUCCUUUUCAGAGGCUGAACCAGGAUCUUUUGAUUGGAGUACCAUAGACCUACCAAACUCAAUCAGUUACGAACCAUAUUAUAUUAAUGAUGAUUAUGAUGCAGUAUUGAUUAUAAAUACUUUUACUUUUGUAAUCUCCUGCUUUGGAGUUGUGAUGAAUGGAGCUAUCUUCUGGAUUCUUGGCUCAAGUGCUAAGGUUUAUCCAUUCACCAUUUACAUUCUAAACCUGUCAAUCGCUGAUGUUGGGAUCCUUGUGUUCAGAGUCAUAUGCUCCUUUGUCUUCAUGUCAGAAAAAGUGUCAGUUUCUCCUGGGAGUGCAUACUUGCAGUUCUUCCUGUUUAUGUGUAUUGUUGAUCAAAUUCUGCUGACAACCAUCAGUACUAAUAGAUGCCUUCUUCCAAAAUUGGUAUCAGCACCAUCAGCUGGAACACCUGUCUGCCAUUUUGUGUGUUGCCAUAUGGAUCCUUUGCUUCCUGUUCUUUGCAAAUCAUUUACUGUUUUGAGGAAGCCGAAAAUACUAGCACCUUGGUCUUCUAUCCAUUCAAGGUGACUUUUCUGGUUUGCCUUCCAGUCAUGACUAUUUGCAACCUGAUCCUGUAGUCAAAGUGUGCUUCAGAAGGCAACAGUCUCAGCAGGCUAUGUGCUUCACAGCCAUCAUAACUUUUCUUUUGUUCUCCUUUCUCUUUACCUUCCCUUUGAAUAUCAUUUGCAUCAUCCAAUCAUCCAUUUCUAUCUAUGCAUUACAGUGGGUCCCCAGAUGUUUUGGCCUUCAACUCCCAGAAAUCCUAAUAGCUGGUAAACUGGUUGGGAUUUCUGGGAGUUGUAGGCCAAAACCCCUGGGGACCCAUAGGUUGAGAAACACUGAUGUAUUGGAACUGAGCUACUUAAAUACUUGUCUGAGGAGCAGCAUUAGGUAGUCAUUUAUUUCCUGGUUGGGAGACAGAGGGGAGAUGUGUGCAUAAAAGAUAUGAAGGUCAUUUUUCAGACGGUUUUCAAUGAAGAAGAAUACGAAGGAAAAGAAUAUGACCUGGACCUGGAAAUCGCCUAUUAAAAUCCAGCUGUGAGACCUUCGUAAGUGUAUAGAGUUCCUAGCUUUGCCAGUCUAAGCAUUCUGACAACUCUAUGGUGUUUUUAGUUCAAAGUUAUCAGAAAAGUCAAUUUCAGUUGCUGUACAUUUGCCACAGAUUUAAUCAGAAGGAAAAUAGAGAGGUAGCUUUGAUCCUUUGAUUAAUAGAUGAUAGCUCUCAUUCCAGAAAUGGAAUGAGAGCCACGAAACCAUUCAGAAAUGUCUCCAACUUAGAUGUCCUGAACUUCAAUGCUAUACCAGUUUAGGAGUCCUAGCUAGGGAUGGAUGGAUCUGUCUGACAUUGCUUUCUUUGACAUUCACACAUUUUGCAAGUACAAGUAUGUCUCUUCCUAAUUUAACAUCAUUUUGUUACAUUCGAACACUUGUCUAGGCAUUGCUAGAUCAUCCUGUAUUGUUCUAUGAUAGGCUUUGGAUGGUAUUUUUUUAAAAGUCCUUUGUUCAGCCUAGUAAAUGAAAUGAGAUCUUCAGUUUCAGAAAUUUCUGCUGUUAGACUUCCUAUUGCUCUUGAAGAAGGCCAUUGGCAUAUGUACAUAGGUCAAAACAUGCUAUGAUAUUCAAAAACAAAAGAGCAUUUAGAAAUGUAUCUUCCCUCUUUUCUCAUGGAAAAAUAAUAAUAGGCAAUAUACGGACAUAUACACACAAGUAAAGUUGACCAUUGAAAUCAAAGGGAGUACAUGUAGUAGACUAAUUCAAAACCCCUGUUUUAGGUCCCAAUAAUUUAAUUGGUUUACUAUGGGGAAGAAUUAAAUCUGGACCCAACCCAGUGUCACUAUUACGAUAAUUUGUUGUGGUCAUAAUCAUCAGUAUCUCAGUAUGACAAUAUACCUGUUGACAUACAUUGAAGCUGCGCUCAGACAUCAAUUAUCGGGCCUUCCAUCACUAUGCACAGACUUUGCUUACCCUGUAGUGUUUCCGAUUGCUGGCACUAUUUGUACCCAGUAUGCUAUUCCAAAACCUCCAAGUGAGCUAGACUAAACAACUAAUGAUGAAACCUUAUCACCAGUGAUAUUUAAGCAACUCUGCCAUUGGCUAAUGAAAGCCUUGAUCCAACUAAUAUGAAAGUGUUGUUGUUAUUAACCAUUAUAGAACUCCUGGAAGCACAAAGAUGGGUUUUGUGUUUCUGAUGAGGAUAUCUGUGGGACAUCACACAAUUUCCUGUGUAAAAAUAUGCCCUUUCAGUGAGAUGCAUUAAUCCCUGCUAGUAACACUUCUGUUAAUUCUUUCCACUCUCUUCUUUAUUAGUACUCUUUUCUUUCCAGGAGCCGGCUCUAUAUGUACUAAAGCCAAUAAUGUCAAUAAAUACAAGUGGAUUGAAAGGAACACAAUCAGCACUCACAUUUGUGGGUUUCUCUUGCAUGACUUAUGGGUUUAUAAUUGAUGCUUAACUGAAGUCCCAUCUACACUGAACAUUUAAUGCAGUUCAAAGCUAUCUUCAAACUAUCAUGGCCAGGCAACAAACUCCUGCAAAACUGCAUAAAAGAAAGCCCUUAACGAGGAAAGAUUUAGCCUUUAGGAAAGAUUUAAAAACGUGGCUUUUCCGGUGUGCUUUCGGAGAGUAACUGUUAUACACUUCUUUUGUUACUCCCCCCAACAUCUAUCCUCUAGACUGUUUUUCUAUCUUAUGUCCCUGUUCCCCGUGGUUUUUAUUCUUAUCUUUUUCUCACCCCAAGUUUUAACUGAGUGUUCAUGCGACGCGCCCUGUUAUAUUGCUUUUUUGAUUUUGUGUUGUACUGUACAUGAUUAUUUAUUGUAUUGUUUAACUGUAUUAUGAUAUGUUGUUUAUAUUUUGCUAUAUUGUAUUGUCCUGGGCAUGGCCCCAUGUAAGCCGCCCCGAGUCCCCGUUGGGGAGAUGGUGGCGGGGUAUAAAUAAAGUUAUUAUUAUUAUUA